UACGAAGGGGCUAGCGUUGCUCGGAAUCACUGGGCGUAAAGCGCACGUAGGCGGACUUUUAAGUCAGGGGUGAAAUCCUGGAGCUCAACUCCAGAACUGCCUUUGAUACUGGAAGUCUUGAGUCCGGAAGAGGUAAGUGGAACUGCGAGUGUAGAGGUGAAAUUCGUAGAUAUUCGCAAGAACACCAGUGGCGAAGGCGGCUUACUGGUCCGAUACUGACGCUGAGGCACGAAAGCGUGGGGAGCAAACAGGG
rnacentral:rRNA from 1 species